CUCGAGUACGGGUCACGGUCAGACUUGUGCUCGAGAGCCUCCAGAUGGUCGAGUCGCAGCAGCUCCGGUUCGCGGGGUGAGUGGAGCUCACAAUGAGCGACGUGAAGCAACGGCCUCAGCGACGAACCGCCUUCGCAUCGUUGCUGCCGCGAAGGCGGCCUCGCCACCUGCCUCUCUACACCAUCCGCNUGCUGCUCGUCUCCCCAGACCUCGAACUCCCCCGCCGCGGAAUAGUCGCCGAAUCCACCGUUACCCUUCACCGUUGCACCUUUGUUGCGACGAUUGUCGAUGAGUACGGGCCACGGGGAGCCCCGUUGCUCCUCCUUGCCCUCUGAUACGCGCCUGUCCUCCUGUUUCCGCUUGUACUUCACCAGAUACUGGCGUUUCUUGCUCGAGAGGGAAAACGACAAGCUGCCUCGGCGGUUAGAGUAACGACGGCCCGUCAGAUUUCCGGCGGACGCACCGCGGUCCGCAUAUAGGUCCUUCCACGAGCGAGGCAGCGUAUUCUUUUACCCUUCAGGAUGUCAGCAUGUCACGCUGGAAUGGUUAUAUCCGCUGGAAUGGCCGCCGUUUAUACCACGCCGAUUCGAUCGUUGUUUUGAGGGUGGUUCGUUAAAACAGACGCAUUCCACGAUGGUUGAAUUCGUUCCCGUGAUUAGCCGUCGGCUAUGGACCCGGCUAACGUGUACGCAAACUUUGUUAUCGAUCUGUCAACGCCAGCGAGAAAGUUCAACUCCCGCGCGAUGCUACGCGAAAGGGGGAUUAAGUGGAUGGUCCCAGUCACUAGUCCGCCGUUGAACAGCGGACGAUUAUUUCUUCGUUGCAAAGGACACUUUUGAAUAAGAGGCAGGUAUACGUUGUUCAGACGGCUGUCGAUGGAUGGUGAAAGUUCCUUGAGAGGUAUUUUUGUUGAUCACUUUUGCGAAGGAUUGAUCGAUGUUUCAGAAUUCAGGACGAUUCAGGAUUCGACGCGUAUCCCUUUUUCACUGCGAACACUUUCGAAGCACUGGAAAAACUCGAUAAUUUAACACUUGAACACUUUUUCCUUCACCAAUUCCGAAACUUUAGAUCGUAUCGUGUUAUUCCUUUUUUGUAAUAAGAAGUAUAAGCCAGAAGUAGAACGUUUCCUCAAUGGCACAUCACUAGAGAAACGAUCCCGAUGACAGAAGCAAUUCUCUUCCAAGAACGAGCAGCCAACAUACGUCACGGAUACUCUCGACACGGACGAGCUAAUUGGGUCAGGGGGUUGAGAACUGCACGCAAAUCCGUGCCGGUGGAGCGUGAGCAGCGUGCCCUGAAGGUCCCAGGGGUGCAAGUGAAGAGACCGUGUCGCCGAGGACCAACCAGUUACUCAACAAUUUCUCUCAUCUAACUUCACUACUCCUUUUUUCGAAUCGCUUUUAAACGGCAACAAUUAUUUCGAUCCGUUCGCGAAAUUAAUGAAAAAUCGAAUCAAAGAAAGAAGAAAAAAACUUCGAGGCACUUCACGAAAAACGAAACUCCAAUAACGAUCGUGCCGAAGCGUGUUUAAAUCCAAUCGUGUGAUCCUGCCGUCUGCUUUCGGCUUAGUUCGUCGUCUUCUCGAGCGUAGAUACCGAGGUGAUAUAGCGUACAACGAGAGGUUACUGCACCACCAACGUUGUAUCGUGCUCGUAGACUCCCCUCUUUAUUGCGUUCAGUGAGAAACGAUCUCGUCGUUCGAGAGAGAGAGCACGCUCGAGGAAAACGUAUACACUCACGUCAGCUGCAGAUCAAAGACUGAAGGGCCACAGCGCCGCAACGCCCGGCACCGAGUGACACUGAGUGUCCCCACCACGCCGCUCUCGACGCGCAUGCGUGCCACGCGCUUCAGAUCACCCCUCCAACACCAUGAACGGAUAAACCGUUGGAAGAGAACGCCGCCACGCGGGUGGUGUACUCACUAUUCGUCGUCACGGCGCCGUGACCAUCGUAUCGCUGUGACUCGUCGUGUCUACGCUUGUUUUGCGAUGCGGAUCCGCCGGGGUGUCGAUAUCCGCGCACAACUUCUCACUGUUGGAAAGUUUCGAGAGGGAUUGCUCGUGGGACGAAGGCUGGAAAGUUCUGGGUUUUCAGUUUUUGUCGGUGGCGGUUGAUUGGAUAUUUUUUGAUGGAGGGAAGCAAGGGGAACGAGGAUCGAGGUUAUUCGGUGGAAUUGAAGAGAUUCGCGUUAGAGGCGACAGAUUAGACGAAAAUGGACGAGCCUCUGAUAUAUAUAUGGUCAAUAUAUGGUCUGGUUGUAAUAUCGUACCACGGGAAUACGAGAAUGGAGAGAUUGGCCGGUUUGAUUUCUCCGCCAUGCCAAUGAGCACGCCAGUCGAUGUUGGGGAUCUCGGAAUUGUUCCAGCUAACGAUGGGCGUUCGAUGCCCUCGGAGUUCUUGAGCGAUUCGGUUGUGUAAGCAUUGGAAUGCUCCUGAAUGUCGUAAAUUAUGCAGAAGGGAAUUAUACAAUCAAAGAGAUAUCCAGAUGUACGUAG